UGACAUUAAGAAGAUAAUAUGAUGUUGCGGAAGCACUUGCCAACUAACUAGGGCUGGAUGCUGAGGAGCAGUAUUCUCUACUAGAGAUCACAGAUGCCUACAUGUUUUCUUUCAGUCCUGUGUAAGGUGUACAUGCUGAGGAUGUAAGUGAACAAGUACAUCAGCUUUGUAAUUUUGAGAGCAUUUUGAAUAGUACAUUUCAGUUAGGAACUAGUAAGCUCAAAUAAUUUAAUUUUGAGCUAGUAAGCUCAAUUGAUCUUGAACCACUAUGCUACAUGUAUGCACUAGGAGUGUCACUCUCAGAAGUCUACACAGGAGCAUCUCAGCAUUUCUACCGAUUCUUUCCCACUUAUGUAUGUUAGAAAGACUGAGCCAGUGACUGGUAGGUCAUUGUCAGCUCUCCAUUCUUGCCAGGGCAAUAACCCAAAAGGUCAUCAGCAAAAAUAUCCAAACCAGAGCCAGGCAGUGUGGGGGUUGCCAAGCAUUCAAGGAUUUUACAGUCAAAACUGCUGCAUAUGUGAGCACAACAUGCAGUGUUGCAAUACUGUGAGUCUGUAUUUCUUAAUCCACUCACUGAAAUUAGUAAGGACCACCACUGUCUGUGUCAUAGACUGACUCUCUACUUCAGUGUCAUCAAGGUGUCAGCCAAAAAAUUCUGAGUGACAGUAAGAUUUGCUAUGGAAGAAUCCAAAGUAUGUACAGCUUUUGGCCCCCUUUUGGGAAGGGGCUGAUUGUGGAGUACAGUACAUGUUGUUGGCCUUUUUUUAUUUUUAAUGACUCAUAUUUUGGAUCUUAUUCCUAUUUGUCUUUCAGUGCCAAACAGAAAUUACUAUUUAGGUCAAACUGCUGUUGUGGUACUAAUAGAAGCAGACAUGAGUUUUGUCGAUGGAUUUCACAGCUAUGCAUUUUGCAGAGUGAAGUUCCCUCUCUAGGCUACUUCUGACAUUUAGCUGUGAUGGUAUUAAUACCAGCUUCUAGUGCUACUUCUGCCAUUAUACUUGCACACGCUCAGCUGGGGAAUAUAGCUGGGAAGUUACCUUUCAGCUAUAGCUUUUUUUUCAUGCAGACUCUGAGUACAGCAUCUUCUUCUCCCAGAUCCAGCUUUUGGGCCACUUCAUGCUGCUGCUGCAUGGUCCCAGCUCUUCCUGUGCACUGGUGUGAUCCAGCCUCUUGGCCUGUCUGUGGCUGCUGCCAGCUUUGCUAUGUUCUGCUUCUUUUAGAGGGUUUUUUUUCUAACUCUGACUCCCCUGGCUCUUGCUUAAUGCUUCCUGAGGAGUGACAGCUUUGGAGAGGAGCCUCAGCUCAUGCCCAGAGGUUUUCAGCCUGUAUUCUGGUCCAUGCCUCGACUCAGAUUCUGGUGUAUCUCUGCAGUGAGGUUUGCUGCACUGCUGCCCUGGAACCAGUGCCUUGGGCAUGCAUGGAAGUGGGAGACCUGCUAGCUUAGGUGCCAGAAGGCUGGCACUAGCAAAUGGGGUUGCUGCAAGCCUCUCAUCCCUUCCCAUCAGGUAACAGAGUGAAUUCAACUAUCUCUGCAAUACAAAGCUGACACAAUUUAAGAGCCACCAUGACCCAUUAGAUGGUCCAUGGGAAUUACAUAAAAUUAAAGAGGGGUGGGGCUGAUUGGCUGCCUGCUGGUGUAACUCUGUGUGUGCAAGACUUCAUUGAAUUUCCUCCAGUUCUCAUCAUCUGAAUAUUGGCUCUCCAUUUUCAACUCUGAGCAUUGAGAUUUCUGAAGAUGGAUCUUUAAACCAAUUUAUGCACAGACGCUCGACCCUGAGCUACAGCCAAAGAUAUGGGCUGAGAGAGAAAGUACAAAAAUGGAUUUAAGGUAUCUUUGAAUUUCUGCAUUAUUUGUAUUACUUUGCUUGCUCUGGUUAAAUAAUACUUUAACUUGCAGAAUAGCCAAACAUGAGCUAGUUAGCAGUCCAGCGGCCUCUACUACCAGCUAAUGUUUAGAAGGCCAAAAGUACCUCCUAAGGCUACUUACUCUUUUCUUCCUUUCCAUCCUCAGAUUUUUCUGCAGGUAAUAGGAGCCCUAAAAUUACUUGAUUUUUGUUCACUUUCUGAGAGGGUUGUGCUAACAGGAACAGCAUGACUGCGCACAGCCUGAUAAUUAGGUCUGGUUUUACUUACAUAGAUAACAACAUGGUUUCUGUGAAAUUUCCCAAUCCCUUUCAAACUGAUCCUCUUUUACAGUACAUGUAUGAUAUAACUUCCAAGACUGCAUUAAUUUUCUCUUCCUGGUUUUGUCUCUUGUUUUUGUGUUUGGCUUUGUUCUGUGGGGUUUUCUUUCCUGGUCAAUUGUUUCACCCAAACUUUGUAUGCACAACAGUUGAUGCCACCCUAAACUCUCAUAACAGAAGGAUGUUCUUACCACUUAUUGCUUUGAGUUGAUAGUCGUGCUCUGAACUAACAGAAGUUAGUUGCAGCACCCACAUUUAAUCAUAACUGUGCAUAUGGUUUAGCUCUCACAGAUAGCAGGAAUGAGUAUUUAGUAGCUAGAAGGAGGUAUUUUAAUGAGACUUUGAAGCAGACCAUUCAACCCAGAGCUAAUGGCCUUUCCGUAAUAAGGAAUUAUUUUAUUUUACUGUCUUGUAGCUACAGUGAUAUGGUAUCCAGACUUGGGAUUAUUCCUUCAUUCUUCCUGCAAGUGGCUGCAAAGGGCAUGGAGGAACUGGAGAAGACAGAGCUGGUCAAAAACUUAAUUCCGUCCCCUCCCCAUGUCAGCCUUAAUCAUAAUGAAGGACCUUGGCAGAGAGGAGAGCAGACAAACAUCCUGUGUGUGUGGAUGACGUCCCUGCUCACAGCCUAAAUUAACUGUCAGAGAUACCUACGCUCCAAAACAAGUAUUUCCAGUGCAUGGGAAUGCUGUGAUCACAGCACAGGAGAAACAAGGUGCAAACUUCUCAGCAUCACCAGAGCAGCCUGGUGGCUGUUGGGUGGGAAAAGUAGUCAUACACUGCUCAGUGCCCUAGAGAGGAGGUUAAGCUUCCAGACCCAACAAUGACCUGAGCCUAGUGCUAAGCCCUGUUUAGCAGUGCACCGCCACUGAGCUUUUUCCAUCACUCCCAGCCCUGAGCAGCCAUCUGUCUGUUCCUGCAGCCAUUGAGUUUGCUAAGUCAGUGAGAACUUCUCCCCAUAAAUUCCCACUUUGCUUCUGGCAUGACCUGGACUGUUUUUUCUCCCUUGCCUUGCAGAACCAUCCCAUCUUUCCUAGUCGUGUUUCCUUUACUCUUCCUACAAUUUUUUCAGAAAUGUAUAUGAGCUAUCCAAUUACCUCACCCCUUGGUGAGGGAAGGUGGAGUACAGAGGUCAAUAGACUGAGAUCUCUUUCUGCCCAAACUGGUUCACCUGGAUAUUGGUUCCCAACCAGUCUUCCUGUGAGGUGGGGAAGGGGCAAGGCAAGAUGGAAAAGUAGGAGAAAUCAGGAGCAGGAGGGCUUAUUCUGAAAGAAUUAGGGGAAGAUUGCUCCAGGCAAGGAGUCUACAUAAU
rnacentral:lncRNA from 1 species